rnacentral:rRNA from 1 species
UCCGGUGGUCAUGGCGGAGGGGAAACACCCGGUCUCUUUCCGAACCCGGUAGUUAAGCCCUCCAGCGCCGAUGGUACUGCAUGGGAGACCGUGUGGGAGAGUAGGACACCGCCGGAC